UACGUAGGUGGCAAGCGUUGUCCGGAUUUAUUGGGUUUAAAGGGUGCAUAGGCGGUCCUGUAAGUCAGUGGUGAAAUACGGCAGCUCAACUGUCGAGGUGCCAUUGAUACUGCGGGACUUGAGUACAGUCGAGGUAGGCGGAAUUGACGGUGUAGCGGUGAAAUGCUUAGAUAUCGUCAAGAACACCGAUAGCGAAGGCAGCUUACUAGGCUGUAACUGACGCUAAGGCACGAAGGUGCGGGGAUCAAACAGG
rnacentral:rRNA from 1 species